GCCGCCUCCAUUUUUCCCUCUCAUAUUCUUUUCUCAUCUCCUCCAUCUAUUUCUUUAUCAAACCCAAAUCAAACAAAAAACCCUAAUAUUUCUCCUUCAUCUCUUAUCGGUUAUCACUGAGAUGCUCUCACCACCAUCUAAAAACGAAGACUACAAACCUCAACCGUUGAUACCACGGCUGUUACUAUCAACGGCCGCGAGCUUUUUAACCGUAUGGUAACCAAACCCUUAUGUUUCAAGAUCUAGAGGUGAAUUUUUGGUUAGUUUCCUGAAUUUUUAAGGUAAAUUUCUUGACUAUCUGGUUAAUUUCUUGUUAUUUUUUAUUUUUAUUAUUGAUUUCCUGGUUUUAAUUUUUCCAUGACCUUUACUAUUUUGGCCUUUAACCAGGUUUUUACCUAUGAUUAUAAGAUUUACGAAUACUUUGAUAAAGAAAAGAAAAAGGCAAAGUGGAGAACAGAUUUUAGAAGAACAUAUUUUAAUUGUAUUUGUUUUUUUAUUUUAAUUUAAUAUGUGUUGAAGAUAAUGUAAAUAAAUUGAUGUAAUUAAACCACAUUUGUAUAUAUAAAAAGUUUUAUAUUUCUUUA